rnacentral:rRNA from 1 species
UGGCGGCGUGCUAUAAUGCAAGUCGAACGCUUUUUCUUUCACCGGAGCUUGCUCCACCGAAAGAAAAAGAGUGGCGAACGGGUGAGUAACACGUGGGUAACCUGCCCAUCAGAAGGGGAUAACACUUGGAAACAGGUGCUAAUACCGUAUAACAAGUAAAACCGCAUGGUUUUACUUUGAAAGGCGCUUUUGCGUCACUGAUGGAUGGACCCGCGGUGCAUUAGCUAGUUGGUGAGGUAACGGCUCACCAAGGCAACGAUGCAUAGCCGACCUGAGAGGGUGAUCGGCCACAUUGGGACUGAGACACGGCCCAAACUCCUACGGGAGGCAGCAGUAGGGAAUCUUCGGCAAUGGACGAAAGUCUGACCGAGCAACGCCGCGUGAGUGAAGAAGGUUUUCGGAUCGUAAAACUCUGUUGUUAGAGAAGAACAA